CACAAUAUUCCAAGCAACUCAAUUGCAACAUGUCCAAACAUUCAACCUACAAUACACAUAACAGAGUAAACACAGUAAUACCAUUCAACUGCAAAUACAAAUCCAACUUGCAUUUCUCAUAAAAUGACUCCCUUACAUUUCAUAACAAGGCACAAAUAAUUUUCAUCUGCAGAGUUACCAAACAGAAAAAAGCACAAGUCCAACUUAUACAUUUACUAAUUCAUUUCACUCUACUAACAGAACCCUCCAAUCUCAAUUCAAACCAUAACAACUAAUCCACUUCAUUCUUCACCAAAACUAACUCCACUCUAAUUUCAUAACUAACGGAAUCAAAUCAAUUCACAACUAGAUCCACUUCAGUUAACUGAUUCUUCACACUAACAGAAUUGUUCACUCUAACUUCAAUUCUCUUCUAGAUUAACUUCAUAACUAACAAACGUCGCCCUAACUAACAUUUAACCAAUUUCUAACAGUUAACUAACUGUCAACAAGCGUUCAACAAUAUUGCAAGAUCAAACACCUAUAAAUAAGUUCACCCAACAACUUCAACGAAGUUCACGAUUUCAUUUCAUUCUUUCAAUUUGCAAAACUCUAAGAAUCUCUCAAAUUUUCACUCUCCAGAAAUUCUCAACCAUUCACUCCUCAAAUCCCAUGGUUCACUCAUCCCAACUCAGACACUCGCUUUUCAGAAUCUCUCAUUCAUUCUCAACCUCGCUCUCUAAAUUCAACUCUGAAAAGAGAACAAUGACGCAAGAACACUCGCUUUUCAGAAUCUC
rnacentral:lncRNA from 1 species